ensembl:snRNA U6 U6 spliceosomal RNA
GUGCAUCACCACUGCCCAGAUAAAAUUAUUGGAAUGCUACAGAGAAGUUUAGCAUUGCUACUGUGCAAGGAUGACGUGCAAACUCAUGAAAGUCAGCAGUCUGUU